AUUGAACGCUGGCGGCAGGCUUAACACAUGCAAGUCGAGCGGGGUGAUGGUGCUUGCACUAUCACUUAGCGGCGGACGGGUGAGUAAUGCUUAGGAAUCUGCCUAUUAGUGGGGGGCAACAUCUCGAAAGGGAUGCUAAUACCGCAUACGUCCUACGGGAGAAAGCAGGGGAUCACUUGUGACCUUGCGCUAAUAGAUGAGCCUAAGUCGGAUUAGCUAGUUGGUGGGGUAAAGGCCUACCAAGGCGACGAUCUGGAGCGGGUCUGAGAGGAUGAUCCGCCACACUGGGACUGAGACACGGCCCAGACUCCUACGGGAGGCAGCAGUGGGGAAAAUUGGACAAUGGGGGGAACCCUGAUCCAGCCAUGCCGCGUGUGUGAAGAAGGCCUUAUGGUUGUAAAGCACUUUAAGCGAGGAGGAGGCUCUUUUGGUUAAUACCCAAGAUGAGUGGACGUUACUCGCAGAAUAAGCACCGGCUAACUCUGUGCCAGCCGCCGCCGUAA
rnacentral:rRNA from 1 species